UUUUAUUUGAGAGUUUGAUCCUGGCUCAGGAUGAACGCUGGCGGCGUGCCUAACACAUGCAAGUUGAGCGAUUUACUUCGGUAAAGAGCGGCGGACGGGUGAGUAACGCGUGGGUAACCUACCCUGUACACACGGAUAACAUACCGAAAGGUAUGCUAAUACGGGAUAAUAUAUUUGAGAGGCAUCUCUUAAAUAUCAAAGGUGAGCCAGUACAGGAUGGACCCGCGUCUGAUUAGCUAGUUGGUAAGGUAACGGCUUACCAAGGCGACGAUCAGUAGCCGACCUGAGAGGGUGAUCGGCCACAUUGGAACUGAGACACGGUCCAAACUCCUACGGGAGGCAGCAGUGGGGAAUAUUGCACAAUGGGCGAAAGCCUGAUGCAGCAACGCCGCGUGAGUGAUGAAGGCCGUCGGGUCGUAAAACUCUGUCCUCAAGGAAGAUAAUGACGGUACUUGAGGAGGAAGCCCCGGCUAACUACGUGCCAGCAGCCGCGGUAAUACGUAGGGGGCUAGCGUUAUCCGGAUUUACUGGGCGUAAAGGGUGCGUAGGCGGUCUUUCAAGUCAGGAGUGAAAGGCUACGGCUCAACCGUAGUAAGCUCUUGAAACUGGGAGACUUGAGUGCAGGAGAGGAGAGUGGAAUUCCUAGUGUAGCGGUGAAAUGCGUAGAUAUUAGGAGGAACACCAGUUGCGAAGGCGGCUCUCUGGACUGUAACUGACGCUGAGGCACGAAAGCGUGGGGAGCAAACAGGAUUAGAUACCCUGGUAGUCCACGCUGUAAACGAUGAGUACUAGGUGUCGGGGGUUACCCCC
rnacentral:rRNA from 1 species